rnacentral:misc_RNA from 1 species
CAGGAUUCUCAAGAGCAGCUGGGCAUUCCUUAAGUGCCAAAUUGAACCAUUUAUCUCUUGGCCUUACACCAGAAGAGGAGGACGAAGAGGAAGAUGGAGACCAUAUAGCUUGCUCACCACUGUAAUUACGAGAUGACAUAUAAGGAGACCUCGACUCCAGUAUUAUGUGGAGACUUUUAGCAAAAAAUUCAGUGAUAAUUUGUUCCAUUUUGGCACCUUCAGUGUGACUAUUACUAUGAGAUGAUGCCAUAUUAGAAAAUGAACUACAAAAGCACAAACCCAGAAGGUAAAUAAGUUAAGAGACACAUCGUUGAAGAGGAUCAAAAAGUUCUGAAAACAGAAACCCUUUUGUGUUUUGAUUG